AUUACAGAAUGAAAAGUGCUUAACUGCAUUUUUUCUUACACGUGUGUUUUUCUUUUUUUGAAAACUUUGCUUUGGUAGGCCUUCUAUAUGGGGCCUGCCAGAGAUUAAACUCAACCAAAUUUUAUUUAAUGUCAACCGAUUAUUUAAUAGUCAAAACUUUCAACAACGGAUCUCUUGGUUCUCGCAUCGAUGAAGAACGCAGCGAAAUGCGAUAAGUAAUAUGAAUUGCAGAUAUUCGUGAAUCAUCGAAUCUUUGAACGCACAUUGCGCCCUUUGGUAUUCCAAAGGGCAUGCCUGUUUGAGCGUCAUUUCUCCCUCAAACCCUCGGGUUUGGUGUUGAGCGAUACGCUGGGUUUGCUUGAAAGAAAGGCGGAGUAUAAACUAAUGGAUAGGUUUUUUCCACUCAUUGGUACAAACUCCAAAACUUCUUCCAAAUUCGACCUCAAAUCAGGUAGGACUACCCGCUGAACU
rnacentral:sRNA from 1 species